rnacentral:lncRNA from 1 species
UUGGAAUAAUUUGAAUUCAAUGGAGAUACAAAAUGACUAACCUAAAUUAAAUAAUCACAAAAGAAAAAAUAAAGAAAAAUGACUCUACAAGAAAAUAAAAUUAGAUGAGGAAAAGAGAAAGUGAUAAAGGCAAGAAUCAAACUAAGGACCUGGUGGGAGACAGGAGAAGUCUCAACCACCAGGCCAGGAGCGGUUGGCUGGAAGUUUAACACGUCCAC